UCCUCGGUUGUAUAGUGGUAAGUAUACCCGCCUAUCACGCGGGAAACCGGGGUUCGAUUCCCCGCCGGGGUG